rnacentral:rRNA from 1 species
CUGCCCUUUGUACACACCGCCCGUCGCUACUACCGAUUGAAUGGCUCAGUGAGGCGUCCGGACUGGCCCAGAGAGGUGGGCAACUACCACUCAGGGCCGGAAAGCUCUCCAAACUCGGUCAUUUAGAGGAAGUAAAAGUCGUAACAAGGUCUCCGUUGGUGAACCAGCGGAGGGAUCAUUACCGAGUUUACAACUCCCAAACCCCUGUGAACAUACCACUUGUUGCCUCGGCGGAUCAGCCCGCUCCCGGUAAAACGGGACGGCCCGCCAGAGGACCCCUAAACUCUGUUUCUAUAUGUAACUUCUGAGUAAAACCAUAAAUAAAUCAAAACUUUCAACAACGGAUCUCUUGGUUCUGGCAUCGAUGAAGAACGCAGCAAAAUGCGAUAAGUAAUGUGAAUUGCAGAAUUCAGUGAAUCAUCGAAUCUUUGAACGCACAUUGCGCCCGCCAGUAUUCUGGCGGGCAUGCCUGUUCGAGCGUCAUUUCAACCCUCAAGCACAGCUUGGUGUUGGGACUCGCGUUAAUUCGCGUUCCCCAAAUUGAUUGGCGGUCACGUCGAGCUUCCAUAGCGUAGUAGUAAAACCCUCGUUACUGGUAAUCGUCGCGGCCACGCCGUUAAACCCCAACUUCUGAAUGUGACCUCGGAUCAGGUAGGAAUACCCGCUGAACUUAAG